AUUGAACGCUGGCGGCAGGCCUAACACAUGCAAGUCGAGCGGAUGAAGGGAGCUUGCUCCUGGAUUCAGCGGCGGACGGGUGAGUAAUGCCUAGGAAUCUGCCUGGUAGUGGGGGAUAACGUCCGGAAACGGGCGCUAAUACCGCAUACGUCCUGAGGGAGAAAGUGGGGGAUCUUCGGACCUCACGCUAUCAGAUGAGCCUAGGUCGGAUUAGCUAGUUGGUGGGGUAAAGGCCUACCAAGGCGACGAUCCGUAACUGGUCUGAGAGGAUGAUCAGUCACACUGGAACUGAGACACGGUCCAGACUCCUACGGGAGGCAGCAGUGGGGAAUAUUGGACAAUGGGCGAAAGCCUGCUCCAGCCAUGCCGCGUGUGUGAAGAAGGUCUUCGGAUUGUAAAGCACUUUAAGUUGGGAGGAAGGGCAGUAAGUUAAUACCUUGCUGUUUUGACGUUACCAACAGAAUAAGCAACGGCUAACUUCGUG
rnacentral:rRNA from 1 species